rnacentral:rRNA from 2 species
AGAGUUUGAUCAUGGCUCAGAUUGAACGCUGGCGGCAGGCCUAACACAUGCAAGUCGAGCGGUAGCACAGAGAGCUUGCUCUCGGGUGACGAGCGGCGGACGGGUGAGUAAUGUCUGGGAAACUGCCUGAUGGAGGGGGAUAACUACUGGAAACGGUAGCUAAUACCGCAUAAUGUCGCAAGACCAAAGUGGGGGACCUUCGGGCCUCAUGCCAUCAGAUGUGCCCAGAUGGGAUUAGCUAGUAGGUGGGGUAACGGCUCACCUAGGCGACGAUCCCUAGCUGGUCUGAGAGGAUGACCAGCCACACUGGAACUGAGACACGGUCCAGACUCCUACGGGAGGCAGCAGUGGGGAAUAUUGCACAAUGGGCGCAAGCCUGAUGCAGCCAUGCCGCGUGUGUGAAGAAGGCCUUCGGGUUGUAAAGCACUUUCAGCGGGGAGGAAGGCGUUAAGGUUAAUAACCUUGGCGAUUGACGUUACCCGCAGAAGAAGCACCGGCUAACUCCGUGCCAGCAGCCGCGGUAAUACGGAGGGUGCAAGCGUUAAUCGGAAUUACUGGGCGUAAAGCGCACGCAGGCGGUCUGUCAAGUCGGAUGUGAAAUCCCCGGGCUCAACCUGGGAACUGCAUUCGAAACUGGCAGGCUAGAGUCUUGUAGAGGGGGGUAGAAUUCCAGGUGUAGCGGUGAAAUGCGUAGAGAUCUGGAGGAAUACCGGUGGCGAAGGCGGCCCCCUGGACAAAGACUGACGCUCAGGUGCGAAAGCGUGGGGAGCAAACAGGAUUAGAUACCCUGGUAGUCCACGCCGUAAACGAUGUCGAUUUGGAGGUUGUGCCCUUGAGGCGUGGCUUCCGGAGCUAACGCGUUAAAUCGACCGCCUGGGGAGUACGGCCGCAAGGUUAAAACUCAAAUGAAUUGACGGGGGCCCGCACAAGCGGUGGAGCAUGUGGUUUAAUUCGAUGCAACGCGAAGAACCUUACCUGGUCUUGACAUCCACAGAACUUAGCAGAGAUGCUUUGGUGCCUUCGGGAACUGUGAGACAGGUGCUGCAUGGCUGUCGUCAGCUCGUGUUGUGAAAUGUUGGGUUAAGUCCCGCAACGAGCGCAACCCUUAUCCUUUGUUGCCAGCGGUUCGGCCGGGAACUCAAAGGAGACUGCCAGUGAUAAACUGGAGGAAGGUGGGGAUGACGUCAAGUCAUCAUGGCCCUUACGACCAGGGCUACACACGUGCUACAAUGGCAUAUACAAAGAGAAGCGACCUCGCGAGAGCAAGCGGACCUCAUAAAGUAUGUCGUAGUCCGGAUUGGAGUCUGCAACUCGACUCCAUGAAGUCGGAAUCGCUAGUAAUCGUAGAUCAGAAUGCUACGGUGAAUACGUUCCCGGGCCUUGUACACACCGCCCGUCACACCAUGGGAGUGGGUUGCAAAAGAAGUAGGUAGCUUAACCUUCGGGAGGGCGCUUACCACUUUGUGAUUCAUGACUGGGGUGAAGUCGUAACAAGGUAACCGUAGGGGAACCUGCGGUUGGAUCACCU